rnacentral:rRNA from 1 species
CGGCAGCACAGUAAGAGCUUGCUCUUAUGGGUGGCGAGUGGCGGACGGGUGAGGAAUACAUCGGAAUCUACUCUGUCGUGGGGGAUAACGUAGGGAAACUUACGCUAAUACCGCAUACGACCUACGGGUGAAAGCAGGGGAUCUUCGGACCUUGCGCGAUUGAGUGAGCCGAUGUCGGAUUAGCUAGUUGGCGGGGUAAAGGCCCACCAAGGCGACGAUCCGUAGCUGGUCUGAGAGGAUGAUCAGCCACACUGGAACUGAGACACGGUCCAGACUCCUACGGGAGGCAGCAGUGGGGAAUAUUGGACAAUGGGCGCAAGCCUGAUCCAGCCAUACCGCGUGGGUGAAGAAGGCCUUCGGGUUGUAAAGCCCUUUUGUUGGGAAAGAAAUCCAGCCGGCUAAUACCUGGUUGGGAUGACGGUACCCAAAGAAUAAGCACCGGCUAACUUCGUGCCAGCAGCCGCGGUAAUACGAAGGGUGCAAGCGUUACUCGGAAUUACUGGGCGUAAAGCGUGCGUAGGUGGUCGUUUAAGUCCGUUGUGAAAGCCCUGGGCUCAACCUGGGAACUGCAGUGGAUACUGGGCGACUAGAGUGUGGUAGAGGGUAGCGGA